GAUGAAGAACGUAGCGAAAUGCGAUAAUUAAUGUGAAUUGCAGAAUUCAGUGAAUCAUCGAAUCUUUGAACGCAUAUUGCGCUCUCUGGUAUUCCGGAGAGCAUGCUUGUUUGAGUAUCAGUAAACACCUCAACUUCCAUAUCUUUUUUGAAAUGGGAGUUGGACUUGAGUGAUCCCAACGCUUUUCCUCACCGAAAAGUGGCGGGUUACUUGAAAUGCAGGUGCAGCUGGACUUUUCUCUGAGCUAUAAGCAUAUCUAUUUAGUCUGCCUAAAAAACAGAUUAUUACCUUUGCUGCAGCUAACAUAAAGGAGAUUAGUUCUUGUGCUGACUGAUGCAGGAUUCACAAAGACAGCUUCGGCCGACUUUGUAAACUCGAUCUCAAAUCAAGUAAGACUACCCGCUGAACUUAAGCAUAUCAAUAAGCGGAGGA
rnacentral:misc_RNA from 1 species